CUCAUUUUUGCAAGAUAUAUUCUAAAACUGGAACAAUCCAGAGCAGAUUAGCAUGGCCCCUGCUUGAGAACAACAUCCCAAUUUGUGAAAUGUUUCAUAUUUUC